GCGAAGGUCUCCGCCUCGGCCGCCAUAGUCGGAGAGAGAAGAGAUUUGACUUGGAGGAGAAAAGAGGGAUGGGGCUAGGGCUCGACUACCGGGAGACGCUAUGGGAUUGGAGGGAUCUAGGGUUUGCCGAGAGAACGGGUUCAUAUAGAGAAGAGGCGGGUGGUUCUAGAUUGUUCUGACGCUACAAAGCCGGAGGGUGGUUGACUUGGACUAAGAAAG
rnacentral:lncRNA from 1 species